rnacentral:rRNA from 1 species
UGGGGAAUUUUCCGCAAUGGGCGAAAGCCUGACGGAGCAAUACCGCGUGAGGGAGGAAGGUCCUUGGAUUGUAAACCUCUUUUAUCAGGGAAGAAGUUCUGACGGUACCUGAUGAAUAAGCAUCGGCUAACUCCGUGCCAGCAGCCGCGGUAAUACGGAGGAUGCAAGCGUUAUCCGGAAUUAUUGGGCGUAAAGCGUCCGUAGGUGGUUAUGCAAGUCUGCCGUUAAAGAAUGGAGCUUAACUCCAUAGGAGCGGUGGAAACUGCAAGACUAGAGUACAGUAGGGGUAGCAGGAAUUCCCAGUGUAGCGGUGAAAUGCGUAGAUAUUGGGAAGAACAUCGGUGGCGAAAGCGUGCUACUGGGCUGAAACUGACACUGAGGGACGAAAGCUAGGGUAGCGAAAGGGAUUAGAUACCCCUGUAGUC